rfam:Felis catus isolate Cinnamon breed Abyssinian chromosome B4, whole genome shotgun sequence.
ACCCGGCUGGCUCAGUCGGUAGAGCGUGAGACUCUUGAUCUUGGGGUCAUGAGUUCAAGCCCCAUGUUGGGUA